AUACGGAGGAUGCAAGCGUUAUCCGGAUUUAUUGGGUUUAAAGGGUGCGUAGGCGGAUGAUUAAGCGUGAGGUGAAAUGCCACUGCCCAACAGUGGAACUGCCUCGCGAACUGGUUGUCUUGAAUGCUCCUGCCGUGGGAGGAAUGUGUGGUGUAGCGGUGAAAUGCAUAGAGAUCACACAGAACACCGAUUGCGAAGGCAUCUCACGAAGGGGUGAUUGACGCUGAGGCACGAAAGCGUGGGGAUCAAACAGGAUUAGAUACCCUGGUAGUCCACGCAGUAAACGAUGAUAACUAACCGCUGGGUCGUAGUGAUUCAGUGGCCAAGCGAAAGCGAUAAGUUAUCCACCUGGGGAGUACGACCGCAAGGUUGAAACUCAAAUGAAUUGACGGGG
rnacentral:rRNA from 1 species